CAGCCGCCGCGGUAAUACGUAGGUCCCGAGCGUUGUCCGGAUUUAUUGGGCGUAAAGGGAGCGCAGGCGGUUUAGUAGUCUGAAGUUAAAGGCAUUGGCUCAACCAAUGUAUGCUUUGGAAACUGUUAGACUUGAGUGCAGAAGGGGAGAGUGGAAUUCCAUGUGUAGCGGUGAAAUGCGUGGAUAUAUGGAGGAACACCGGUGGCGAAAGCGGCUCUCUGGUCUGUCACUGACGCUGAGGCUCGAAAGCGUGGGUAGCGAACAGGAUUAGAUACCCCCGUAGUCCCUGUCUCUUAUACAU
rnacentral:rRNA from 1 species